GGGGAUAUAGCUCAGUGGUACAGCACUUGCCUAGGACACAAAAGGCACUGGGUUCAAUUCCUAUUACCA
rnacentral:tRNA from 1 species